AACAAACGCUGGCGGCGUGCCUAAUACAUGCAAGUCGAACGGGGAAAGCUUUCGGGUGAGUACUAGUGGCGCACGGGUGAGUAACGCGUGGAUAAUCUGCCUUAGAGUGGGGGAUAACUAGUCGAAAGAUUAGCUAAUACCGCAUAAGACCACAAGAACUGCGGUUCACGAGGUCAAAGGUUUUUCGCUCUAAGAUGAGUCCGCGUAAGAUUAGCUAGUUGGCGAGGUAACGGCUCACCAAGGCAACGAUCUUUAACUGGUCUGAGAGGAUGAUCAGUCACACGGGAACUGAGACACGGUCCAGACUCCUACGGGAGGCAGCAGUAGGGAAUAUUGCACAAUGGAGGAAACUCUGAUGCAGCGACGCCGCGUGAGUGAUGAAGGCCUUCGGGUCGUAAAGCUCUGUCGCAGGGGAAUAACACAAUGAAUGUACCCUGUAAGAAAGGAUCGGCUAACUUCGUGCCAGCAGCCGCGGUAACAC
rnacentral:rRNA from 1 species